rnacentral:lncRNA from 10 species
GCUGCUGCUGCUGAAAAGGCCAGCCGGGCUGGAGAGACCUGGCAUUGGCGCAUCUGGGAACCGACGUCCGUGCGCGGCUGGCUAGAAUGCUGGACUCGCCUCCGCAGCGCUGGCCUGCAGGGAUUAGAAGACAUGUGGGGUCAAGGAACAGGAAGCUGACCUGGAUGGAAGUUGAACAGUGAUCUUUGCUCUCUGCCUGGCUCCUGAGUCCUCUGCCAUGUUCCUGGAGAAGAGGAGCCAGCCAGGUCUUCAUUCAAACCAAACCUUGGAUGGGAUCCAUCUGCCUCUGCAGGUGACCGUAACAACAUGCAAAUGGUGAGUUCUGCUGGGGGGUCAUGGAAGCUCCCUGGAGGAGGUGUAUCUGGACAACAGGGAAAGAAAGGAGCUGGAGAAGAGAGGCAGAAAAAUUGGGUCCUGGUUCAGGUGAAGUUUUCCCAGCUGGAACAAUGACAAUGUCAAUAUCCCACAAAGGCGGCUUCUGUUUAUUUAGCGCUUGCUGUGUUCCCACAAGUCUUCCUCUACCUGCCCUCUCCCCAGCCCUCAUCUCACUCUCCCAGAGCCCCAGAGCACACCAAUGGACACCAUCACCUCUCGGGCAGAUCAGCACAGAGACGUGAAGCACACAGGCAGCUGCUGGAAAAAUAACAAGGAAUUGCAAUGGUGUGCCCCUCCGUUGAAUGCAAGCUCUCUUCUGCCUUCUCACCUUGGGCAAGUUACCUUCCGUUCCAGGCCUCGGUUUCUCCAUGUGUGAAAUGAAAGGGCUGGAGAGAAAUCUCUCACUAUUCCCCAAUCUACAUUCAUUGUAUCCCAAACCUUCUAAUAUCUGUUCAACGAAGUGUACCAAAUCUCAGCUAUUGGACUGAGACUCAGGGGUCUAUCUGACUUGAAUUGAAAAUGCAAAUUACUGAAGAGGGAGGGAGGGAGGAGUGCUGAAGAUUGAAUGGAUUUAUCAGAUUUCCUUCUCCUAUGGCCCAGAUGCAGGCCUAGUCCAGGCGAUUCCCCUGGCUCAGAAUCUGCCAGGCUCAAGCAUUCAUUGACAGCCUACUAUGUACCAAUCCUGGGCUGAGUCCCAACCCGGGGAUGACUUAGAGGAGGCCAGGAUGUGGCCUCAUGUUCUGGUUGCUCUCACAUUUAAACAGGCUAAACCCACUUUGCAUUGUAUGUUAGGGGUGGUGCUUGUGGGACAAAGGGGGCUGUCAGAACAUUCUGGCUGCCACAUGAAGUUGACUUUGCCAGGACAGACUGGGUUGUGGGGGAAGGCAGCUACUGUAAUAAUUUGGCCAAGAAGUGGGCUGAGCAGGAGCAGGGCUGAGGGAGGGAGAGAGGGAAUGAGUAAGAAAGGCCCAGGGUACUGAUUUGACUGGGACUUCAGGGACAGGUGUGGGGCGAGAGGGAUGCUGGAAGUGAAGGAGGGAAAGUGCAGAGGCUUUCUGGGGAUUAAUAGGCAAUGAUCUCUAUGAGGGCGUGGUGAGUAGGCCCCAAACAUCCGGGGACUUCCCUGCCUGCCAUCCCUCUGUCUCUCUCUUCCUUUCCUACUGCCCAGGGCCUGGCCCUGCUGCACAUGCCCUGCCCUGGCCCCCAGAGUCCCCUUCUUUCCUGGCUGGGAGAUUAAGACUCUGCUGUGCCUACAGCAUUCUCAACCUCAAGUCAAGGUGGCCCUUUGGAGCCCAGGAGGCCACAUGGCUGAGUCAGGGCUGAGUCACCACCCCCCAAGGGCCUUGCCAUUUCCUGUGGAGAAGCCUCUUUACUGGCAGGGUUCUGUGCUCAGGUGGGAAAUCUGGAGAGGUCGGGGGCAGGGCUUCAUCUACUUUUACCCACUAACUCCCUAGACACUCCACUGGGGGUAGAGGGUUCCUACACGUAUGAUGAUCAAAACAUGUGUCUGUGCACAUGGGCCCUUAUGCAUUCACAGGUGUUUGCCUAUGCGACUGCAUGUCUGAAUGUUUUAUGUAUAUUUGAAUAUAGAUAGGGAACAAAUAUUUAUGGAGCACAUAUUAUGUGUGCAGCCUUUUACGUGUGUUACUUUCUAAUAACCCUAGGAGGCGUAGAUGCCUCCCAGGCUAUGGUUGAAAAUACUGACAUGCCCAAGGUGCAGGAGGUAUGAAUACCUCCCCACUGUGGCUGGUAACACCCCAGGUUUCUCCAACUCCACAGUGAUGGGCUUUCCUCCAGAGCCGGUUCCUCAGGGGCAGGAGUGAGAAGUGUGUGUGUCUGUAUUUAUCCUUCCACCAGUGGCUGUGAUUGGUCCUGUGGUUGGAAACAGGGUCAAGUAAGGCCCUUGGGAGUAGCUGGGUGAAUGGACGAUGGUGGCGUCCACCUUGGACAUGGCACAUACUUCUGGUCGGGUAUCCACGUGGCUGGCCAACCCGGACCUGCCCUAUUAGGGGCCAUCGCCCUCAUGGCUCAUCAGUGCUGAGUUUCAUUGCCUUCUUCGUAAUGCAAUACUAAUGGAUACAGGCAUGUAUCUGCCGUACACUAGAUGAAAUGUGGUUAUUUGCUCAGGUAGAAAUAAAGACUAAAAUACCAAAGUGGG